rnacentral:rRNA from 1 species
UGGAUAUGUUAAUAGCAUAUUCAUUUGACGUUAGCUGCAGAAGAAGCACCGGCUAACUCCGUGCCAGCAGCCGCGGUAAUACGGAGGGUGCGAGCGUUAAUCGGAAUUACUGGGCGUAAAGCGCAUGCAGGUGGUUUGUUAAGUCAGAUGUGAAAGCCCGGGGCUCAACCUCGGAAUUGCAUUUGAAACUGGCAAACUAGAGUACUGUAGAGGGGGUAGAAUUUCAGGUGUAGCGGUGAAAUGCGUAGAGAUCUGAAGGAAUACCGGUGGCGAAGGCGGCCCCCUGGACAGAUACUGACACUCAGAUGCGAAAGUGUGGGUAGCAAACAGGAUUAGAUACCCUGGUAG